rnacentral:rRNA from 1 species
GCUUGCACCUUUCAAGCGAGUGGCGAACGGGUGAGUAACACGUGGAUAACCUGCCUCAAGGCUGGGGAUAACAUUUGGAAACAGAUGCUAAUACCGAAUAAAACUUAGUAUCGCAUGAUACAAAGUUGAAAGGCGCUACGGCGUCACCUAGAGAUGGGUCCGCGGUGCAUUAGUUAGUUGGUGGGGUAAAGGCCUACCAAGACAAUGAUGCAUAGCCGAGUUGAGAGACUGAUCGGCCACAUUGGGACUGAGACACGGCCCAAACUCCUACGGGAGGCUGCAGUAGGGAAUCUUCCACAAUGGGCGAAAGCCUGAUGGAGCAACGCCGCGUGUGUGAUGAAGGCUUUAGGGUCGUAAAGCACUGUUGUAUGGGAAGAAAUGCUAGAAUAGGGAAUGAUUCUAGUUCGACGGUACCAUACCAGAAAGGGACGGCUAAAUACGUGCCAGCAGCCGCGGUAAUACGUAUGUCCCGAGCGUUAUCCGGAUUUAUUGGGCGUAAAGCGAGCGCAGACGGUUGAUUAAGUCUGAUGUGAAAGCCCGGAGCUCAACUCCGGAAUGGCAUUGGAAACUGGUUAACUUGAGUGUUGUAGAGGUAAGUGGAACUCCUGGUGAAACCG